AGGAGCAGUGAUGAGUCCUACAGACCUGUAAUGAUUUGCGGUAAUGAUCGCAACUCUUUAAGAACAUCUAAGGGACUGAGUUCCU
rnacentral:snoRNA from 1 species